GGGGGUAGGUGGAGGCUUGGUGCCUUCCCCGGACUUCAAAUCCGGUGGCUGGCCUUAGAGGUCAGCGGUGGGUUCGAUUCCCACAUACUCCC
rnacentral:tRNA from 2 species